rnacentral:lncRNA from 1 species
GGGGAAGAGACAGUUAAAGCUUCCACGCACCAGCAAGAUGAGUUGUACCACACAGCGCCCAUGCCAAGGUCAGCAGUCUGAAUGGAGCUGAGACACUUACUGCCCGUGCCAAGCAGUGCCAAGCACCUCUGGAAGCCCCUGCCUAGGACCCCCAAAUUUAGAUUCAUGCUGCAGUCUGGAGAGUGUUUUGACGGCUGCCGGGCUACAGGGAAAAGCGCACUGCACACUGCCUCUGAGAUGAGACAGAGCUCUCCAGGCUGGGAGUCUGGGGAAGCCGGACCUGGGUAGCGCUGCUCAGAUCCAAAUGACAAGUAUGUCUCCUGUAUUAUUCAAAACCGAAUUAAGCAGCAAAUAUUGACCAAGUCUACAUAUAAGCCUAUGGGUUGUAACUAUGUAUACAACACAGCAGCCCAGUUUCAUAAGGGAAGUAGACAUGGGUAUCCCUGGGUAAGCAGAGGCUGCCGAGAUACCAUUGGGAUACAUUGAGGAGAAGAUAUUGCAGCGAGGCAGGUUGAAUUCAUCUGCCUGCUUCCAUAGGCUCCAUCCAGACUAAGCUCUACAGGAACUGCCACCGAGACAGAAGUCUCUCUUUCCUCAGUCACUUGGCCCAACUCAAAUAAGUCCAAAGGACAGAAGAGUAAUGUGUGAAGUAGGAGCCACAGGGCAGGAGACGCCAAACCAGAGGGGCUGGAACUCACCUGAAGAUUUACAUGGCCGCCUUUGACUUUUAUGACACUGACAAUUCAGAGGAAUAAGACACUUUUAAGAUACUAGUAGAGAGUUAGCUCCUUGGGGCUUGGCGGGUGUCACUUCUUGAGGAAGCUGAUGGAGCCCCCCUGCCUACUCCACUUCUGACAAGCCAGUUCAUGGAUGCUGUCCACAGAUUUUUUUCAUUGCUGGUGGUUUAAUGCUCUCUGUAGCCUUGUAAUGAUUCAACCAGACAGAGGAACCAAAGUCGAUCAGUCCAUGACUAAUAGGGACUCUCCGGUCCCAGGCUUCACCACAUUCUGAGCAGCCAACAGGUGCCACAUGGGAUGGUAAAGUGAUUUAGGCCAUGACCCCUUCAGGUUUUGUUUGUUUAUCUGCUUGUUUCUAAGGUUCAUUUUAUUUUUAUAGAUAUGUAUUUGUGUGUGGGUGUCUCUUUAAAUAUGUGCUACAUGAGUGUAUGUGCCCAUGUAAGCCAGGAGAAAGAAUUUAAAUUUCCUGGAGCUGGAGUUAAGUUCUCUCCCAUAGGUGUUGAGAACCAAACUCAGGUUCUUUUUUUGUUGUUGUUGUUCUUGUUGAUUUUUAUAUUUUGAGUGUGCUCACACACACACUCAUGUACCUACACGUGCAUGUCUGUGUAGACACAUGUGUACACUUGUCAUGCAGAGGUUUUGUAUACAUGUGGAAGUUAGAGAACAACUAGAGAAGUUGAUUCUCUCCUUUCACCCUGUUCGAAGGAUUGAACUCAGGGUCUUAAGCCUGGCAGCAAGGGCCUUUACCCAUUGAGCUACCUGACAGUCCCCUUUCUCCAGUAUUACUGAGUAAUUAUGUAUGAAUAAUUUUACAUGACAACAUUUUACAUGGGUGAAUAAAUAUUGAACUUAACUAUAAAAAUGGAAAAAGCAAUCUUCAUUUAGAAGUGUAACUGUACAUGUUAGAGUAAUAAGAUUACAUGUUUGUAUCAG